rnacentral:rRNA from 1 species
GAUGAACGCUGGCGGCGUGCCUAAUACAUGCCAGUCGAGCGAACAGACGAGGAGCUUGCUCCUCUGACGUUAGCGGCGGACGGGUGAGUAACACGUGGAUAACCUACCUAUAAGACUGGGAUAACUUCGGGAAACCGGAGCUAAUACCGGAUAAUAUAUUGAACCGCAUGGUUCAAUAGUGAAAGACGGUUUUGCUGUCACUUAUAGAUGGAUCCGCGCCGCAUUAGCUAGUUGGUAAGGUAACGGCUUACCAAGGCGACGAUGCGUAGCCGACCUGAGAGGGGGACGGGCCAAAAUGGAAAUGAGACACGGUACAGACCCCUACGGGGGGCAGCAGUAGGGAAUCUUCCGAAAUGGGCGAAAGCCUGACGGAGAAACGCCGCGGGAGUGAUGAAGGUCUUCGGAUCGUAAAACUCUGUUAUUAGGGAAGAAAAAAUGUGAAAGUAACUAUGCACGUCUUGACGGUACCUAAUCAGAAAGCCACGGCUAACUACGU